UGAAUUGAAAAAUACUUUUAUACUUCUGCAGGACUCUGUGGAAUCUGCAGUACUUGAAAAUUUUCCAAGCUCAUUAAAAAGAUCUUGUGGACCACUAGUUACUACAAGUACCCUGGAGGUUGUCAUACCACAACAUGCAGUUGCCAAACUCGUAAGAAAAUCUAAAGACAUGGUUUCUCAAAUCAGCGAGUUAUCAGGAGCAACUGUCAAAUCGAUUGAAAAUGGAUCUGAAGCUACAGUCAAUGUCAUUCGAAUAUCAGGGACCCCAGAACAAGCCGAGAGAGCCCAGACCUUGCUGCAGGGAUUCAUCUUGAGCA